AUGAGUUUUCAGUUUAAGCAAACAAGACAGGUCUCAGUGUUACUGGGGAAACCACAGCCUAGAAACAGAGAGUGCAGCAGCAGAGGUCUUAGCAGAGGCGCUCCAAGAUUGAACACUGGUGCACCAUGUGCAGAAAGCUGCUGUUACCAGCCCAGUAUCCACCCGGCUGGAGUCAGCAAGAAGGAGCAUGAGCUCAGGUGCACUAUUUUGAGCCAAAUGUAUUCGAGUCUAUCAUCCACUGGGGGCUGCUUUGUGUUGGUGUACCACAACAUGGAUAUGAGGGAUGGAGAUCCGGUACGUGUCCCUCAUCUCUGAUUCUGUGGGACAUGGCUGGGGGGUAGCAAUGAACAGCUGGAGAUGUUUGGGAAGUACCAUAUGCCAGAACACCUUCCAGGUGCUAAAGCAGGAUUACGUCUGGACCCCUUUUAGUGCUCUUGUUGUAUUACACAAAUUAAAUAGAUGCAAGGGGUCCCUGGAAGCUUUGUUGUGAUUAAAGAGGCAUUUCCUGAGGUCCCAGUGAUACCUUGCAUGGGAUUGCUGGCAAACCAGUGAAAUCAUUUUGUGCUCUUUGAACAGUAAUAUUUAAAACAAUUUAUCCUGCAAUGACAUCUGGUGGUUGCUUUUCUUUGACAGGAAAUUCUUGCAGAAGCAUCCUAGGCAAGCCUUGCCACAGGGUAGAUCUUCCUGUGGCAAUAAUUCACUGGGGAUCUACUUUUGUGGAGAAGUGCACGUUUUAACAAGUUUCAACAGUUUUGUCAAUGAACAGCCCACAGCCCCUCCUUGGAGCCAGCCGCUGCAGCCAGAUUUCUUGUUGGGAAUGAUCUGAUGGGCAAGUAUCCAGCAGAGAAGCCACUGCUGCUUUGGAAAGAUGUACGGGGGUCAUCCUGCUGAGUUGCCACUGAAUAUCACUGUGCUGCAAAGGGGAUCUCUGCUUAGGUGCCUCGUAAAGGCAAGGGAGCCAUGCAAGACUGGCAGGAGCAAGCUGCCUUGAUUGCGUCCUUCCAGACAACCUCUGACAAACCUUAAAAGACAGAGAAGGUACAAACACCCCUCAACUGUCUCUUCGCUGGAGCUGCUCACCAU
rnacentral:lncRNA from 1 species